rnacentral:rRNA from 1 species
GACGAACGCUGGCGGCGUGCUUAACACAUGCAAGUCGAACGGAAAGGCCCUGCUUUUGUGGGGUGCUCGAGUGGCGAAAGGGUGAGUAACACGUGAGUAACCUGCCCUUGACUUUGGGAUAACUUCAGGAAACUGGGGCUAAUACCGGAUAGGAGCUCCUGCUGCAUGGUGGGGGUUGGAAAGUUUGGGCGGUUGGGGAUGGACUCGCGGCUUAUCAGCUUGUUGGUGGGGUAGUGGCUUACCAAGGCUUUGACGGGUAGCCGGCCUGAGAGGGUGACCGGCCACAUUGGGACUGAGGUACGGCCCAGACUCCUACGGGAGGCAGCAGUGGGGAAUAUUGCACAAUGGGCGGAAGCCUGAUGCAGCAACGCCGCGUGCGGGAUGACGGCCUUCGGGUUGUAAACCGCUUUCGCCUGUGACGAAGCGUGAGUGACGGUAAUGGGUAAAGAAGCACCGGCUAACUACGUG